ensembl:lncRNA
GGUUAACCUCUAUCCCAUGCCACCAUCCCUGGGGGCAGGGCGGAGGAGGAGCCCAAAUUCAAUGACUAGCUGCUAGAGAGGGUUCAAAGGUGUCCCAGCAACAUCCCUCAACAAACCUUCCUACGGCUAAUCUCCAUCUCAGAGUGCGUUUCUGAGACAACAUCUAGGCAGAACUUCAGUAAAUCUGACAAAAGCCAUAGGGAAGGCAAGAUCAACAUGCCUAGGAGCUGCUGAGCAUCCCAUUCCUCUGAUACGGGAUUAACAACCAGGAUUCAGUCCCCUGGAAUGCUCCUGACAGUGGCGG